GAUGAACGCUGGCGGCGUGCCUAAUACAUGCAAGUCGAGCGAACAGACGAUGAGCUUGCUCCUCUGCCGUUGGCGACGGACGGGUGAGUGAGACGUGGAUAACCUACCUCUAAGACUGGGAUGACUUCGGGAGACCGGAGAUACUAACAGAUAAUAUAUUGAACCGGAUGGUUCAAUAGUGAUUGGGGGCUUUCGUGUUUCUUAUAGACGGAUUCGCGCCGGAUUAGCUAGUUGGUAAGGUAACGGCGUACCAAGGCGACGAUGCGUAGCCGACCGGAGAGGGUGAUCAGCCACACUGGAACUGAGACACGGUCCAGACUCCUACGGGAGGCAGCAGUGGGGAAUCUUCGGCAAAGGGCGAAAGCCUGACGCAGCAACGCCGCGUGAGUGAAGAAGGCCUUCGGAUCGUAAAGCUCUGUUAUUAGGGAAGAACAAAUGCGUAAGUAACUAUGCACGUCUUGACGGUACCUAAACAGAAAGCCACGGCUAACUACGUG
rnacentral:rRNA from 1 species